rnacentral:rRNA from 1 species
UACGUAGGGACCAAGCGUUGUCCGGAAUCAUUGGGCGUAAAGAGCGUGUAGGCGGCCAUUUAAGUCCUGCGUGAAAUCUCGGGGCUCAACCCCGAGCGGUCGUGGGAAACUGGAUGGCUAGAGUGCGGGAGAGGAGAGCGGAAUUCCUGGUGUAGCGGUGGAAUGCGCAGAGUAUCAGGAAGAACACCCGUGGCGAAGGCGGCUCUCUGGGACGGUACUGACGCUGAGACGCGAAAGCGUGGGGAGCAAACAGG